rnacentral:snoRNA from 1 species
AAGCGAAGGUUCCCAGCGGAGAGGAAGAUACUCUUAGACGAGACCUCUCUAACACUUGAAAAGUAUAUUCCUUCGCAUAUUUAAUUAUGGCCGAUUCAAACAACGCUUCAGAUUUUCCUCUUUUGUUGCGUUUAGAACCCUUUUGGCCAUAUUCCU